rnacentral:rRNA from 1 species
AUUGAACGCUGGCGGCAGGCCUAACACAUGCAAGUCGAACGAGUGGCGGACGGGUGAGUAAUGUCUGGGAAACUGACCGAUGGAGGGGGACAACUACUGGAAACGGUAGCUAAUACCGCAUACCAUCGGAUGUGCCCAGAUGGGAUUAGCUAGUAGGUGGGGUAAUGGCGCACCUAGGCGACGAUCCCUAGCUGGUCUGAGCGGAUGACCAGUCACCCUGGGACUGAGACACGGUACAGACUCCUACGGGCGGAAGCAGUGGGGAAUAUUGCACAAGGGGCGCAAGCCUGAGGCAGCCAUGCCGCGUGUAUGAAGAAGGCCUUCGGGUUGUAAAGUACUUUCAGCGAGGAGGCGUUACUCGCAGAAGAAGCACCGGCUAACUCCGUGCCAGCAGCCGCGGUAAUGC